UGUGCGCAAUGUAUCGAUGAAGCUCUGUGUAUACAUACAUAUAUGUCCAGCUGCUUGCUGGCUGUUGUGGGGACGCGCCGGCGACACAGGAUAGUUACAUGAUCUCAUGCAGAGCCCGGAACCUUGGCUUCUUGGUAUGGCGCAUUGACGUCUUCUUAUCUCUGCAGAGUUGGUCCUUACCAUUUUCUGUUCCCUUUGAACCCUCCCGUCCUGCCCGUACUAAUAUGCGCAAACUUGAGCGACUCUUCUGGUAGCCAAGCCAGCUCCCUUGCAGCCACAGUUCUAUCUCACCCGUGCCUGGUCUACUGCGUAUGCCGUUAGUUACAUACAUGCAUAUAAGUUCCUUCUGCCGCAGAUCGCGGAUUAUCAGCUCUCGACCCCCGACACUCGCCUCAACUCGCCACAACCCGGCUGGAAUACAAUAUGUUCAACGGCGCCGGGAUGGGCUUCUGUCGCUUUCCAGUACCCCGACAUAACUGCAAACAAGCAUUGCCAUACACUGCAUUUAUCUCCCGAGCUCUCAACAUCCACCAUUCCUCUUAGGGUUUUGCAUGAACUUUCCUCUUUUAAUUUAGUAUCAUAGCGUAGCUUGCACGUGAUGUAAACCUUAAACCUCCCUCG
rnacentral:sRNA from 1 species